GACGAACGCUGGCGGCGUGCUUAACACAUGCAAGUCGAACGGAAAGGCCCUGCUUUUGUGGGGUGCUCGAGUGGCGAACGGGUGAGUAACACGUGAGUAACCUGCCCUUGACUUUGGGAUAACUUCAGGAAACUGGGGCUAAUACCGGAUAGGAGCUCCUGCUGCAUGGUGGGGGUUGGAAAGUUUCGGCGGUUGGGGAUGGACUCGCGGCUUAUCAGAUUGUUGGUGGGGUAGUGGCUUACCAAGGCUUUGACGGGUAGCCGGCCUGAGAGGGUGACCGGCCACAUUGGGACUGAGAUACGGACCAGACUCCUACGGGAGGCAGCAGUGGGGAAUAUUGCACAAUGGGCGGAAGCCUGAUGCAGCAACGCCGCGUGCGGGAUGACGGCCUUCGGGUUGUAAACCGCUUUCGCCUGUGACGAAGAGUGAGUGACGGUAAUGGGUAAAGAAGCACCGGCUAACUACGUG
rnacentral:rRNA from 1 species